rnacentral:rRNA from 1 species
CAGUAGCCGCGGGAAUACAGAGGGUGCGAGCGUUAAUCGGAUUUACUGGGCGUAAAGCGUGCGUAGGCGGCUUUUUAAGUCGGAUGUGAAAUCCCUGAGCUUAACUUAGGAAUUGCAUUCGAUACUGGGAAGCUAGAGUAUGGGAGAGGAUGGUAGAAUGCCAGGUGUAGCGGUGAAAUGCGUAGAGAUCUGGAGGAAUACCGAUGGCGAAGGCAGCCAUCUGGCCUAAUACUGACGCUGAGGUACGAAAGCAUGGGGAGCAAACAGGAUUAGAUACCCGGGUAGUCCCUGUCUCUUAUAC